CACCAACCUUGCCCGUCUGCGGCGACGGCGCCGGCGAACUGCCCAAUGGCCUCUCCUCUUGCACGAGCCUCGGCCAUUCCUCGCCGUCAAUCCUCCCUCCCUGGCAUCACAUCUUUCCCCUACUUCCCAUCUCGAGGCGCGCCGCCCCGCCGCUCCUAAUCGCCGGCCUCCGGAGAGGGGGCCCACGAGGAACCUCGUCGCCGUCUGCGGUCUCAUCCCCCCUUAAUCCUCGUCGACUGAGGCCAAGAAUGGCUGAAUGGGGAUAAAUCAUACGAGCGGUUCAGUCAAAAACCACACGAGCCGCAUUCAAGGUCAUGAUCAAGGGUCGACAUCAACAAGUUGAGGAAGGUGCCUGGAAGGAAACCUUGCUUGACCGUCAACUAAGGUCUACGCCCAAGUCCUGCUGGUGCUGGCUGCUUGUUUCAUUUUCCAAGCGACCGGCUUCAACUUGGCCCCGCCAGCUGAGAGAAACAUCAAAGCAGACCAAAUGCCGAAUACACCAAAGGAGUCUACGUCUUCAUCGUCCGGAUGCGGCCAACCUAGCUCGGUCAGAAAAAGACUAUGUCCCCUUUACUAAGAUGCUAUUCUCUCCGUACCAAAAUGUUAUACUCCCUACGUCUCAGUUUACGAGUCCUGCACGUAUACCUAGGUUGUCAAUUUUAUCACCUAAUAUAAACUACAUAACACAAAAAUUAUACCGUUUCAAAAUAGAACAUAUGCCGUUUAUAUUGGUAUGUUUUUUGUAAUAUUUGACUUGUAUCAGGUUGGUUAAAUUGACGACCUAGGAAUAUACGCAUGCCUUGUAAAUUGAGAGAGAGGGAGUACGUUUUUAAAACUAGUUUAGCGUACAAAAACGUGCUAAUUUUUUUUAAAUAAUACAUUUUUUUAUUAAAUUACAGAAAUAUUACGCUGAAAAAGAAUUUUCAAAAAUAAUACACCGUCGGCCCGCUGCAGGCCGACUGAGCCCCGUCAGCCCACAGCAGGCCGACUAGUGGCCC